rnacentral:pre_miRNA from 1 species
UGAUGCUGAUGAUGAUGCUGAUGAUGAUGAUGAUGAUGACGAUCUUCAUCAUCAUCAUCAUCAUCAGCAGCAGAUGCU